rnacentral:ncRNA from 1 species
UUUAUUCCGGAGAGGGAGCCUGAGAAACGGUUACCACAUCCAAGGAAGGCAGCAGGCGCGCAAAUUACCCAUUCCCGACGCGGGGAGGUAGUGACGAAAAAUAACAAUGCAGGACUCGUUCGAGGCCCUGUAAUUGGAAUGAGUACACUUUAAAAGCUUUAACGAGUAUCCAUUGGAGGGCAAGUCUGGUGCCAGCAGCCGCGGUAAUUCCAGCUCCAAAAGUAUAUAUUUAAGUUGUUGCGGUUAAAAAGCUCGUAGUUGGAUUUUGGGCGCAGGCGGCCGGUCCGUCGCAAGGCGUGUACUGGACGUCCUGGCCUUCCCUCCGGUUCUCCGCCGGUGCUCUUGACUGAGUGUCGGCGGCGGCCGGAACGUUUACUUUGAAAAAAUUAGAGUGUUCAAAGCAGGCUCUCGAGCCUGGAUAAUGGUGCAUGGAAUAAUGGAAUAGGACCUCGGUUCUAUUUUGUUGGUUUUCGGAGCGCGAGGUAAUGAUUAAGAGGGACAGACGGGGGCAUUCGUACUGUGCCGUUAGAGGUGAAAUUCUUGGAUCGGCGCAAGACGAACGACUGCGAAAGCAUUUGCCAAGAAUGUUUUCUUUAAUCAAGAGCGAAAGUCAGAGGUUCGAAGACGAUCAGAUACCGUCCUAGUUCUGACUAUAAACGAUGCCAACUAGCGAUCGGGGGGCGUUACAUUGACGACCCCUCCGGCAGCUUACGGGAAACCAAAGUCUUUGGGUUCCGGGGGCAAGUAUGGUUGCAAAGCUGAAACUUAAAGGAAUUGACGGAAGGGC